ACAGAGGUCCCAAGCGUUGUUCGGAUUCACUGGGCGUAAAGGGUGCGUAGGUGGCCAGAAAAGUCGGAUGUGAAAUCUCCGAGCUCAACUCGGAAAUGGCAUUGGAAACUGCUUUGCUCGAGGGUUGGAGGGGGGACUGGAAUACUUGGUGUAGCAGUGAAAUGCGUAGAUAUCAAGUGGAACACCAGUGGCGAAGGCGAGUCCCUGGACAACUCCUGACACUGAGGCACGAAAGCUAGGGGAGCAAACAG
rnacentral:rRNA from 1 species